AGCAAUCCUGCAACGCGACAAUGGCGUCUCUUAGUGAAUCUCGUGUGUGUGCUGUGCAGUGCGCUGACUUUUCGUCCCAGGGAGGCAGAUCGACGGCGUCUAUUAUGUCAUAAAGAUACCUCCAUCACGCGGAUCAGCAUGCGUGUGCACGGAGAACAAAACAGCAAAGUAGCUGAGCACGCAACGCACCACGAUUCAGGGGAUCACCUCAACGUUCACGGCGAUUCACGUAAACGUUUCGGACGCCAUCUUGGAUCUUCAGGCCAUUUUGGAACAUCCAGGGAAACACAUGUAAGUUUCAUGUUUUUUGUAUUAUUUAAGAAUUUUGAAAUCACGAUUGUGGUAACC